rnacentral:rRNA from 1 species
AGUGAACGCUGGCGGUAGGCCUAACACAUGCAAGUCGAACGGCAGCACAGUAAGAGCUUGCUCUUACGGGUGGCGAGUGGCGGACGGGUGAGGAAUACAUCGGAAUCUACUUUUUCGUGGGGGAUAACGUAGGGAAACUUACGCUAAUACCGCAUACGACCUACGGGUGAAAGCAGGGGAUCUUCGGACCUUGCGCGAUUGAAUGAGCCAAUGUCGGAUUAGCUAGUUGGCGGGGUAAAGGCCCACCAAGGCGACGAUCCGUAGCUGGUCUGAGAGGAUGAUCAGCCACACUGGAACUGAGACACGGUCCAGACUCCUACGGGAGGCAGCAGUGGGGAAUAUUGGACAAUGGGCGCGAGCCUGAUCCAGCCAUACCGCGUGGGUGAAGAAGGCCUUCGGGUUGUAAAGCCCUUUUGUUGGGAAAGAAAAGCAGCAGGUUAAUACCCCGCUGUUCUGACGGUACCCAAAGAAUAAGCACCGGCUAACUUCGUG